GAUUCUACAGUUCUUCCAUCCACCUACGCCAAAUUCAUGUCUUAAGAUGGAAAAAGUGAAAAAAAUAUAAGAUUACAUUAUAAAUAAAUUGAAAAGAGAGAAACCCUAGAAAGUUGCUUGACUAUUCUAAAAUCCCAAGAGAAGAAUAAGAGAGAUUGAUAUAAAUCGCUGUCUAAAUAAAUGUACUUCCAUUCAGCAGCAGCGCAAGCAUGGAGACGGGAUUUAUUCAGAUAUCAUCGAAAUACAGUUAUUAUGGGAAGACAAAGCUAGACCCGACAAGCGAACAAUAUCACAGGUCCAAGGCCUAACCAGGUUUCGACCGAUUAGUUCACAUGCCUGAUUUUCUUGCUCAGCUGAUAAACCCAAUGAUGGGCUGACUCCCAUUCUCUUGUACCAUUCGGCCCACAAUGGUGAUCCCUCCAAAGCCCAAAGGGAAGAUAUGCGACAAAAAUCUUACCUAUUGCUACACUUCACAUUAAACUCGAAUUUUGACUAAAAUAUUGGAGUGUUUGUGGCUAGCACCAUAUCGAUGUGUGAUCCUUAUAUUUUGUAGGUUUGUCGAAACCUUUUAUUCUUGAAGAUUGGUGCAAAUUUGGUGUUGCAUCAACGGUAACC